UUACUGCUGAAGAGUCCCAAACUAGGACGAAACAGCUGUCCAGUAC
rfam:Trichobilharzia regenti genome assembly, scaffold: TRE_contig0000357